CAGCCGUAAACGAUGUGCGUUAGGUGUAUCGACGACCACGAGUUGUCGAGGUGCCGAAGGGAAACCGUGAAACGUACCGCCUGGGAAGUACGGUCGCAAGGCUGAAACUUAAAGGAAUUGGGCGGGGGAGCACCACAACAGGUGGAGCCUGCGGUUUAAUUGGACUCAACGCCGGGAAGCUCACCGGAUAGGACAGCAGAAUGAUUGCCGGGCUGAAGACCCUGCAUGACUAGCUGAGAGGAGGUGCAUGGCGUCAGUGACU
rnacentral:rRNA from 1 species